CAAUAGCGUAUAUUAAAGUUGUUGCAGUUAAAAAGCUCGUAGUUGGAUUUCUGGGAGGGUGCCGCCGUCCGGCGUGUCCGUGUGCAGUGGCGCCCUUCCAUCCUUCUGUUAGCGUCUCUUGGCAUUCAUUUGCUGGUGGCGGGCUCAGAUAUUUUACCUUGAGAAAAUUAGAGUGUUUCAGGCAGGCUAGGCCGGAAUACAUUAGCAUGGAAUAAUGGAAUAGGACUACGGUCUCUUUGUUGGUUUGAGGGACUGCAGUAAUGAUUAAUAGGGAUAGUUGGGGGCAUUAGUAUUUAAUUGUCAGAGGUGGAAUUCUCAGAUUUGUUAAAGACUGACUUAUGCGAAAGCAUUUGCCAAGGAUGUUUUCAUUAA
rnacentral:rRNA from 1 species